rnacentral:rRNA from 1 species
CACGUAGGAGGCAAACGUUAUCCGGAUUCACUGGGCGUAAAGCGCGUGCAGGUGGUUUCGUAAGUAGGGCGUGAAAGCUCCCGGCUCAACUGGGAGAGGCCGUACUAAACUGCGGAGCUAGAGGAUGGUAGAGGGAGGUGGAAUUCCAGGUGUAGUGGUGAAAUGCGCAGAUAUCUGGAGGAACACCAGUGGCGAAGGCGGCCUCCUGGACCAUACCUGACACUCAGACGCGAAAGCUAGGGUAGCAAACGGAAUUAGAGACUCCGGUAGUCCUAGCCCUAAACGAUGCAGACUAGGCGUCGGCGGUUUAAUCACCGUCGGUGUCCAAGCUAACGCGAUAAGUCUGCCGCCUGAGGACUACGGCCGCAAGGCUAAAACUCAAAGGAAUUGACGGGUCCCCGCACAAGCAGCGGAGCGUGUGGUUUAAUUCGAUGCUCCGCGAAGAACCUUACCUGGGUUUGACAUAACAGUGGUAGAGAAACGAAAGUGGACCGACCCUUCGGGGAGCUGUUACAGGUGUUGCAUGGCU